AGGACUCCAUUCUUUCCCGUUAAAGCUGUUCAGUCAAGAAGGGUAAUGCGACACCAUCGUAAAUUACCAGGAAAGAACCUUGAAUUAGAACUCCCAGGAAACCCAAGUUCAUGUGUGAAAAUGGAAAAAAAAAAAAUAUUCUCACCUAGAGAGCAGGGGUGUCUUGAGAAGUUACUGGCCUGUCUCUGUGGAAUAUGCAAGAGAGAAAGGUUCACACUUCUCACACAGACCUUCUGAGGAACAGGUGAUGCACUUGUGCAUCAUUGUCCAGUAUGAGGAUGCUGAACAGCUGCCUGGACACCAGUGAGACCCGUAUUUAGUCCCAGGCGCUCCUAGGGAGUCAGCUGUGUCAAGAUGUAGCUGAAUAUCUCCUUUCCUGAUGUCAGACACUCACCGAAGUGGACAACAGAUGCAAGCUUCGUACUUCCCAUGGAAAGCGCAUGGCCACAGAACCAGCGGCUGAUGUUCUGGGUGAACAGUGGAAGGGUCAUGUGCUUCAAAUAGGUGAUGGAAUAACAAACAAGCUUUUCCCACGAAGCAGGCUGUCUUGACAAACGGCGGAGUGCACCUGCUCUUGAGUAAAGAGUAUUUUCCUAUAGAUCAAAGAGAACUAGAGAGAGGAAGUGCUAGUCUCUUCUGGAUGCAUUUGGAUGCUAAUCUGAGUGUUUUCAACUUGGAUAUCAUUAAACAAACAAACAUACAAUAGAGGACAUUCCUGAAUUCACAUAUAGUACUGCUUCAGUGGUUGAGUUCCAAAAGAACUAGUAGAAUCUAAAAACUGUAAAGAAGAAAAUGUCUGACAGUAUGCUGUCAGCCUUCAAUCAAAGAAGGUAAGAAGCCCAGAACCAAGGUACCUGAGUAACUGGAUUCAGCAUCAUGGUCCUCCAUGUCCUGCAACACAAAUGCCAUACUGCUCAGAAGAUUAAUUCACUAAACAAAAUAAGGAGGCUAACGAAUACAGUUAAACUUACAACCAAGAGAAUGAUAAAAGCCAAAGAAAAAGGCCGGAACAGACCACCAAGAGACAGGCUGUCCUCACUGAGCAUGUUUGCUUCUAAGUCUGACUGCAGCGAAAACUAAGUAUUUAAGAGUAGCAAAUAAAUGACCAGACCUUGAAUCUAAAAUAAUAAUAAUAAGAAUAGUAAUAGUAAUAAUAGUAAUAAAAUGUUCCUUACCCUAAACAUGCUUUUCUGUCCUGUUUUAGAGAGCAUUCCACCAAUCAGCUCUGCAGAAAGCAGAGCUUACUGCUGAGGACCAUGGUCCAGAGGCCUGGAAAAAGAACUAAGACACA